AGUGAACGCUGGCGGUAGGCCUAACACAUGCAAGUCGAACGGCAGCACAGUAAGAGCUUGCUCUUACGGGUGGCGAGUGGCGGACGGGUGAGGAAUACAUCGGAAUCUACUUUUUCGUGGGGGAUAACGUAGGGAAACUUACGCUAAUACCGCAUACGACCUACGGGUGAGAGCAGGGGAUCUUCGGACCUUGCGCGAUUGAAUGAGCCGAUGUCGGAUUAGCUAGUUGGCGGGGUAAAGGCCCACCAAGGCGACGAUCCGUAGCUGGUCUGAGAGGAUGAUCAGCCACACUGGGACUGAGACACGGUCCAGACUCCUACGGGAGGCAGCAGUGGGGAAUAUUGGACAAUGGGCGCAAGCCUGAUCCAGCCAUACCGCGUGGGUGAAGAAGGCCUUCGGGUUGUAAAGCCCUUUUGUUGGGAAAGAAAAGCAGCAGGUUAAUACCCCGCUGUUCUGACGGUACCCAAAGAAUAAGCACCGGCUAACUUCGUG
rnacentral:rRNA from 1 species